rnacentral:rRNA from 1 species
UACGAAGGGAGCUAGCGUUGUUCGGAAUCACUGGGCGUAAAGCGCACGUAGGCGGAUGUGUCAGUCAGGGGUGAAAUCCCGGAGCUCAACUUCGGAACUGCCUUUGAUACAGCACGUCUUGAGUCCGAUAGAGGUGGGUGGAAUUCCUAGUGUAGAGGUGAAAUUCGUAGAUAUUCGGAAGAACACCAGUGGCGAAGGCGACUCACUGGACAUGUAUUGACGCUGAGUACGAAAGCGUGGGAGCGAACA